rnacentral:rRNA from 1 species
AAUCAACGCUGGCGGCGUGCCUAAUACAUGCAAGUCGAACGCGAAAGUCCCGCAAGGGAUGAGUAGAGUGGCAAACGGGUGAGUAACGCGUGGGUGACCUGCCUUCGAGUGGGGGAUAACGUUUCGAAAGGAACGCUAAUACCGCAUGACAUCCUGCCUUUUAACAGGUGGAGAUCAAAGCUGGGGAUCGCAAGACCUAGCGCUUGAAGAGGGGCCCGCGUCCGAUUAGCUAGUGGUGGGGUAACGGCUCACCAAGGCAACGAUCGGUAGCCGGCCUGAGAGGGGCGGACGGCCACACUGGGACUGAGACACGGCCCAGACUCCUACGGGAGGCAGCAGUAGGGGAAUUGUUCGCAAUGGGCGCAAGCCUGACGACGC